GAUGAACGCUGGCGGCGUGCUUAACACAUGCAAGUCGAACGAUGAAAGCGAGAGCUUGCUCUUGCUGGAUUAGUGGCGAACGGGUGAGUAACACGUGAGCAAUCUGCCCCGAACUCUGGGAUAAGCGUUGGAAACGACGUCUAAUACCGGAUACGACGCGCGAAGGCAUCUUCUGCGCGUGGAAAGAAUUUCGGUUCGGGAUGAGCUCGCGGCCUAUCAGCUAGUUGGUGAGGUAACGGCUCACCAAGGCGACGACGGGUAGCCGGCCUGGGAGGGUGACCGGCCACACUGGGACUGAGACACGGCCCAGACUCCUACGGGAGGCAGCAGUGGGGAAUAUUGCACAAUGGGCGAAAGCCUGAUGCAGCAACGCCGCGUGAGGGACGACGGCCUUCGGGUUGUAAACCUCUCUUAGUAGGGAAGAAGCGAAAGUGACGGUACCUGCAGAAAAAGCACCGGCUAACUACGUGCCAGCCGCCGCAGUAAUAC
rnacentral:rRNA from 1 species